AUUUUAUUAACGCAGAGGAAAAGCUUUUAAACUGAGAACUACGGGCUGGCAAGAUGGCAGUGCAGACUGGGAACAUGACUUCCAAGGCUCCAGAUCAGCACUCUCUAGUGGAACUGAAAAGUGCUGUCUAUCUGGAAGUAUAGACAUCUGGAAAGAGGCCUCUGGUUGAUUCUGCUUGGGUCAUGGACUAGGAUUAUUUGCUGGCCUCUGAGAACCUGAGAACUCCUGGAUUCAGGGAGGAAAAGCACGGUUGCCAAGCGAGGGAUGCCUACUACCAGAAGGGAGUCUGCUGCAUGAGCCGGGAGCAUUUCCAGGGACCAGGGAGAUAA
ensembl:sense_intronic Gm20500 predicted gene 20500